rnacentral:rRNA from 1 species
GACGAACGCUGGCGGCGUGCUUAACACAUGCAAGUCGAACGGUGAACCAGGGCUUGCCCUGGGGAUCAGUGGCGAACGGGUGAGUAACACGUGGGCACCCUGCCCCUGACUCUGGGAUAACUUCGGGAAACCGAAGCUAAUACCGGAUAUGACCUCAGAGGGCAUCCUCAGAGGUGGAAAGCUCCGACGGUCAAGGAUGGGCUCGCGGCCUAUCAGCUUGUUGGUGGGGUAACGGCCCACCAAGGCGACGACGGGUAGCCGGCCUGAGAGGGCGACCGGCCACACUGGGACUGGGAUACGGCCCAGACUCCUACUGGAGGCAGCAGUGGGGAAUAUUGCACAAUGGGCGAAAGCCUGAUGCAGCAACGCCGCGUGCGGGAUGACGGCCUUCGGGUUGUAAACCGCUUUCAGCAGGGACGAAGCUUUUGUGACGGUACCUGCAGAAGAAGCACCGGCUAACUACGUGCCAGCCGCCGCCGUAA